GAAACUGAAGUAUAGAGAGGUCAUGAUUUAUCCAGGAUUACUGAACAAAGGAUUUGAUCUAGGAUCUUCCUGACUACAAAUCUCAGACUUUCUUCAUUGUGCCACCUUAGUUCCAGAAAAGUGGGAGAAUAGUUGAUAUUUUAUAAAGUGUUUCACUACCGUAGCACACCGGAAUUUACCAGAACAAUCCACCACUCACUUAAAAUAGUCUUGUCUUGAUUUCUAAUAACAUAAAAUAUCAUAUAAUCUCAGAGUGGAAAAAGAUUGACCAUACAAACUACAUUUUCAAAGAAAUCCCCUUGACAACAUCCCCAUGUGGUCAUCCAACCUUUGCUUGAAGAGCUCCAGGAAUGACAAAGCCACCAUCUCCUGAAGACUGAAAAGAUGAUAAAAAAUGAAAAUGAAAAAUGUUGAAGGAACUAUGGCAAAACAGCUACACAGCUGUAAAUGCAACAGUGAACUGAUCUAGACAUUUUAGGAAGAGAUUUGGAACUGUGCUCAAAAAGUUACUAAAACUUGCUAAGUCUUUGACCCAGCUCUACCACAUUAUACCUCUACUCCCAAGAAAUCAAAGAAGAAAGGAUAUAUAAAUAUGAGGACAUGAUCAUUUAAUUCAGGAAAGGCUAAUGAAAUUAUUGUUUGUUAAUGUAAUGAAAUAUUAUUGUGCCACAAGAAAUAAUGAAAUAGACAAUUUCAAAGGAAACUGGGAAGAUCUAUGUAAAGUGAUACAGAAUAAAUUU